rnacentral:tRNA from 1 species
GGGGGUGUAGCGCAGUUGGGAGCGCACAUGACUGGCAGUCAUGGGGUCAGGGGUUCGAGCCCCCUCAUCUCCACCA